CCUAUACAUGCAGUCGAGCGGACAGAUGGGAGCUUGCUCCCUGAUGUUAGCGGCGGACGGGUGAGUAACACGUGGGUAACCUGCCUGUAAGACUGGGAUAACUCCGGGAAACCGGGGCUAAUACCGGAUGGUUGUCUGAACCGCAUGGUUCAGACAUAAAAGGUGGCUUCGGCUACCACUUACAGAUGGACCCGCGGCGCAUUAGCUAGUUGGUGAGGUAACGGCUCACCAAGGCGACGAUGCGUAGCCGACCUGAGAGGGUGAUCGGCCACACUGGGACUGAGACACGGCCCAGACUCCUACGGGAGGCAGCAGUAGGGAAUCUUCCGCAAUGGACGAAAGUCUGACGGAGCAACGCCGCGUGAGUGAUGAAGGUUUUCGGAUCGUAAAGCUCUGUUGUUAGGGAAGAACAAGUGCCGUUCAAAUAGGGCGGCACCUUGACGGUACCUAACCAGAAAGCCACGGCUAACUACGUGCCAGCAGCCGCGGUAAUACGUAGGUGGCAAGCGUUGUCCGGAAUUAUUGGGCGUAAAGGGCUCGCAGGCGGUUUCUUAAGUCUGAUGUGAAAGCCCCCGGCUCAACCGGGGAGGGUCAUUGGAAACUGGGGAACUUGAGUGCAGAAGAGGAGAGUGGAAUUCCACGUGUAGCGGUGAAAUGCGUAGAGAUGUGGAGGAACACCAGUGGCGAAGGCGACUCUCUGGUCUGUAACUGACGCUGAGGAGCGAAAGCGUGGGGAGCGAACAGGAUUAGAUACCCUGGUAGUCCACGCCGUAAACGAUGAGUGCUAAGUGUUAGGGGGU
rnacentral:rRNA from 1 species